rnacentral:rRNA from 1 species
UACAGAGGUCUCAAGCGUUGUUCGGAUUCAUUGGGCGUAAAGGGUGCGUAGGCGGCGCGGUAAGUCGGGUGUGAAAUCUCGGAGCUUAACUCCGAAACUGCAUUCGAUACUGCCGUGCUUGAGGACUGGAGAGGAGACUGGAAUUUACGGUGUAGCGGUGAAAUGCGUAGAUAUCGUAAGGAAGACCAGUGGCGAAGGCGGGUCUCUGGGCCUGUCCUGACGCUCAGGCGCGAAAGCUAGGGGAGCAAACAGG